rnacentral:tRNA from 2 species
ACCUUCGUGGAUCAGCCGGUAGAGCAUGUCCUUGGUAAGGACAAGGUCGCAGGUUCAAUUCCCGCCGAAGGCU